rnacentral:rRNA from 1 species
CCUACGGGUGGCUGCAGUGGGGAAUAUUGCACAAUGGGCGCAAGCCUGACGCAGCCAUGCCGCGUGUGUGAAGAAGGCCUUCGGGUUGUAAAGCACUUUCAGCGGGGAGGAAGGCGUUAAGGUUAAUAACCUUGGCGAUUGACGUUACCCGCAGAAGAAGCACCGGCUAACUCCGUGCCAGCAGCCGCGGUAAUACGGAGGGUGCAAGCGUUAAUCGGAAUUACUGGGCGUAAAGCGCACGCAGGCGGUCUGUCAAGUCGGAUGUGAAAUCCCCGGGCUCAACCUGGGAACUGCAUUCGAAACUGGCAGGCUAGAGUCUUGUAGAGGGGGGUGGAAUUCCAGGUGUAGCGGUGAAAUGCGUAGAGAUCUGGAGGAAUACCGGUGGCGAAGGCGGCCCCCUGGACAAAGACUGACGCUCAGGUGCGAAAGCGUGGGGAGCAAACAGGAUUAGAUACCCGUGUAGUC